UACAGAGGGUGCGAGCGUUGUCCGGAAUCACUGGGCGUAAAGGGCGCGUAGGUGGCGACCCAAGUCGAUGGUGAAAGCUCGCCGCUCAACGGCGAGUCGGCCACUGAUACUGGGUUGCUGGAGCACUGUAGAGGCAGAUGGAAUUCCGGGUGUAGCGGUGGAAUGCGUAGAGAUCCGGAAGAACACCGGUGGCGAAGGCGGUCUGCUGGGCAGUUGCUGACACUGAGGCGCGACAGCGUGGGGAGCGAACAGG
rnacentral:rRNA from 1 species